AUUGAACGCUGGCGGCAGGCCUAACACAUGCAAGUCGAACGGUAACAGGCUGUAUGGGAUCCCUUCGGGGUGAACUUGGCGCUGACGAGUGGCGAACGGGUGAGUAACGCGUAGGAAUCUACCCAGGAGUGGGGGACAACCCGGAGAAAUCCGGGCUAAUACCGCAUACGCCCUACGGGGUAAAGUGGGGGACCUCUUCGGAGGCCUCACGCUUCUGGAUGAGCCUGCGUCGGAUUAGCUUGUUGGUGGGGUAACGGCUCACCAAGGCGACGAUCCGUAGCUGGUCUGAGAGGAUGACCAGUCACACUGGGACUGAGACACGGCCCAGACUCCUACGGGAGGCAGCAGUGGGGAAUAUUGGACAAUGGGGGCAACCCUGAUCCAGCCAUGCCGCGUGUGUGAAGAAGGCCCUAGGGUUGUAAAGCACUUUCAGUGGGGAAGAAAAGCCUAAAGAUAAUACCUUUGGGUCUUGACGGUACCUACAGAAGAAGCACCGGCUAAUUCCGUG
rnacentral:rRNA from 1 species